GAGUAACACGUGGAUAACCUACCUAUAAGACUGGGAUAACUUCGGGAAACCGGAGCUAAUACCGGAUAAGAUUUUGAACCGCAUGGUUCAAUAGUGAAAGACGGCCUUGCUGUCACUUAUAGAUGGAUCCGCGCCGUAUUAGCUAGUUGGUAAGGUAACGGCUUACCAAGGCAACGAUACGUAGCCGACCUGAGAGGGUGAUCGGCCACACUGGAACUGAGACACGGUCCAGACUCCUACGGGAGGCAGCAGUAGGGAAUCUUCCGCAAUGGGCGAAAGCCUGACGGAGCAACGCCGCGUGAGUGAUGAAGGUCUUCGGAUCGUAAAACUCUGUUAUCAGGGAAGAACAAACGUGUAAGUAACUGUGCACGUCUUGACGGUACCUGAUCAGAAAGCCACGGCUAACUACGUGCCAGCAGCCGCGGUAAUACGUAGGUGGCAAGCGUUAUCCGGAAUUAUUGGGCGUAAAGCGCGCGUAGGCGGGUUUUU
rnacentral:rRNA from 1 species